rnacentral:lncRNA from 1 species
UUUUCUUUUUUUAGGGUCAGGUAACAUUACCUUAGCAAGACACCCCCACAUUUUAAGAUAUUUCUAGACAUAUCACCUUAGUCUGAAUGAAUUAAACUGAGAGGUUCAGAUUCUCUAACUAAUAUUGAUGAUAGUCAUAAUUGUUUGUACAUAGAGCUGGAGAGCCAACCCAUAAACCCAUCCAUUAAACCUAUAAAUUAAUGAGUUAAAUUAUCCAUUUAUUUAUAUAGAAUCUAAGUGGUUGGGUUAAAACGAUAAUGAUAAAUUGAGUUAAAUGAUUAAUAUUCACUAACCCACAUAACUAACAUAAGAAAAUUCCGACUGGGACUUUCCCACUCGACUCCUCAGGUCCAUUAUGAAUAGGAGUGAGCAAAAAACGGAUAAAACCGAACUACCGAACCGAAAUUUUUUAACCGAAUUAUUUCGGUUAUUCGGUUUUUUUUCGUAAUUCGGUUAUAUCCGAUUUUAUUUCUGCUUUUCGGGUUCGGGUUUGGUUUUCAAUUUUUGGUAAUUCAGUUAACCGAAUAACCGAAUUAAAAAAAUGCACAACGUAACUACUGUCACCAACAUACAAUAAAUACAACAUACAUAUCUACAACUUCAUCUAGCAGAAAAGUAAGGUAGAGAAUCAAGAAUCAAGAAAAUGAACUGUAAAGUGAUAUCAUCAAACAACAUUAGCUAACCUACCAUCUUUCCCCAAUACCCAAUAAAUUUUCAAGAAAAUCAAUCCAUAAGCCUUGCGGUGUAAUUUCUUUCAAUACCCAUCUCAGAAAUUCAGGCUUUUCCACCAAAACCUUCUCUUCCUCGUCUGGGUGGUCGCCAUUAACAUGUACGCCCCAGCUCAAACCGCAGAGAGCUUUUAUGAAUUGUUGGGUAUAUCAGUGAGCGAAACCCUCUCUGAAAUCAAGAAAGCUUACAAGCAAUUGGCCAGAAAAUAUCAUCCGGACGUUUCUCCGAUCGACCGGAUAGAGGAGUACACAAAGAUUCAUUCUUGUACAAGAGGCAUAUGAGACUUUAUCUGAUCCACAUACAAGGGCUUUGUAUGAUAGAGAUUUGUCAGAGGGUCUGCACUUGGCUUUCUCUGCUAGAAAAAGGGUUUCUCUGUUUUAGCCUUCAUUUCGGUUAUUAACCGAAUAACCGAAUUUGGUAUUCGGUUAUUCGGUAAUUCGGUUACCUCAAAAUUCGGUUAUUUGUUCGGAUAGUGAAAUUAUUGUUAAUUCGGUUUUCGGUUAUAACCGAAUAGCCAUUUCGGUUCGGUUAUAACCGAAUGCUCACCCCUAAUUAUGAAGGGUCACCGCCCUUCGACGUAGACAAUGAAGGCUCUUGUUCAGUUUCAGCAUUAACUAUUUAAUUGGACCUCCUAAUCCCAAAUCAAAGAACUGUCUAAGUAACAUAUUAGUACCACUAGUACUAUGUUCUCUAACUACUUGGUGAACCUUAUUAUUAGUAGCAUGAUCACCGGCUUGUUCUAAUUCAUCAACGGUCACUUUCUGAUUCUGUCGCUGAGAGUGUAGUAAUUGUUAGUCACAUUCUUGUUUCUUUCUGUACUACUCCAAAGGGUUAUCUUUACAACUAACUACAUUUUCUUUAUUAAAGAAGUCAUUUUACUAAGUAUUAGAAACAUCAAGUACUAAUCACUUUACAAGUUGUUUUCUAAGUUCGUACUUGUUUUCUUAACAAAUAUAUGAACAUAUAAGAAUCCAAUAAUUUUCUACUUAAGAUUGUAGGAUAAAUGCGAAUAAAAUAUAGGAUUCAACUAUCAAAUAAAAGAAGGGCAGAAAUAAACUUAUCGAUUUAGAGCGAAUAGUUUUGAGCAGAGGCGUACAGCGCACUGUCCUUAAGUAGAAAUUUCGCCCCUCGAAGAACUUUUCUCGGUGCUAAGGUCACUGACAAAUUCCUACUCCAGGAUUCAACGGCUCUUCACCCAACUAAUCAGCACUCGAAAUAGUUGAAUGACCCAUGAACAACUUCUAAUUUUUCUUUACUCAAACUCAAAAAUUGCCACACACAUAUAUAUAUAUAUAUAUAUAUAUAUAUAUAUGAAGAAGAAUAGAAUAUUAUAUAUCUAUUAGCACCAAGUACAGUACAUAUAUAUAUAUAUAUAUAUUAUCAGUAAUAAUAGUACUGUAUAUAUAUAGACUAUAUGAAUAUGGACAACUAAUCUAUCUAUAUAGAUUCACACCUUCAGCUGCUUAAAAGAGGAUCUCCAUUCUAUGAAGCCUUAUCUUCCUUUUUUAUAUAACCAUAGAAUGCAUCGGUAAUAAUACAAUACUAUAGCAACGGUAAAAUAUGGCAACGGUAAUAAAAUUAAUAUCCCAAUAAUAGGUAAUUAAUAUAUAAUGAACAGUUACAAAACCUUUAUAAAUAUAUUAAUUAUAACUCAUUUAAAUUACACAUUAAACUCUUUUAAUGGUACAUCACCAAAAUAUAUGAAUAUAUUUAUUUUUAUUUAACUUUGUAAUAUAUUAUUUUGUAUAAAAUACAACACAUAGUACAUUGAGCAUUAAGAACGCAUACAGUCGAUAAGCAUUAAAAUUUAAAUAAAACAAAAUUUUCAGCUAUUCAUAAAUAAUGCAAUUGAUAGAUUAAGUGCUCUCAACAUCCCUUCCCAAUAUAGAGUUACAUUCAACUUUUAUUACACUCAUAAAGUUUGUCACCCUUAAACAAAAAGAAUUCCAUUAUAGUUUUCCAAUAACAAAGUUUAGUCUUAAUUUUUUAUUUUACUAGCCUAUGUUAUGCAUUUGGAGCCUGCCUGAACUAUUUUGGGAUAAAAGGCGUAGUAAACUUCCACUGCAGUUUUCCAAUUACAAACUUGUCUUAAUUUUUUUUCAUUUUACUUGCCCAUUCAACCUAUGUUAUUCGUUUUCAGCCCAUCCGAACUAGUUUGGGACAAAAGCCGUCGUUGAGUUGAUAAAGUAAAAUAUUAAAAAUAGAGACUCCAAAAGAUAAUAAUAUCUAAUUGUGUCCUAAGCAACCACGCAUGCAUAAAUGAGUCAAUUGGUUGUGUACCAAUGGUUACCCCAUCACUUGUGUACAAGAGGGUGGAGAUUCGAACCUUGAUAGUAGUUGAGGUUUGGUGUGUCCAUUUAAAUUCUGUCCACAAUUUAGAAAUUAAAAAAAAAAAAAAAAACCUUUUUGGGAAGGGUGAAGUAUACAAGGGGGAAGGACCUUUGAAAAAAAACAAGUUACCGGUGGGGUUAAGGUUAACUACAAAAGUGUCCCUCAAAGUUUCACAAAAUUUCACUUUUAGCAUCAAAGUAUCAUUUUUUUUUUCAAUUGUUUAAAUUUUUACAAAACUGAAUACACAUUUAACCCAUUCUUCCAAACGUAUGAAUACAACAAUAUAUAAGUGAUAUGAAACGUAACAUAAUUACCAAUGAUUUCGAACAUGCAUGUUAAGAUGCUUAAGGAUUCUGACUUAUAAUUUCACCAAAGGGAACAAUUUUGUAAAAAUAAAUAAACUUGAAGAAAACAACCGAGAAAGCUGGUACUUUGAGACUAAAAAUGGAAUUUUGUGGUGGAACUUUAAGGUACUUUUGCAGUUAAACCUUAACAGUGGCAUAAAGUGAAUAAAUUUACUUUUAAAAGGAGUCAAACUUUAGUAAGAUAGAAAUUUGCCCCUCCAAGUUUUAGCUUUUGACAUCAACAUCGAAUUUUGCGUCUUUAAAUUAGAUAUUCUCACACAAUCAUAAUGAUUAUUAGUUCAAAAUGUAUGUUCGAUUCUUGGCGGUGUGUAAUGUGUAUGAAAUUUUUAAACACAUAAUAAUAUUGUUGAUAAGUAUUUAGCAAUCAGUAAAAUCUCCUACUAAAUAGAUAAUUAGAUGUGUGUGUAGGCGUGAGUCUUACCGAGAUAAGAAAAGAUCCGAGUGGAAGAUUACCGUAAGAUAGAUAGAUAGAAGGGGGAAGGGUCGCCUGAGCUCCGGCAGCUGAAAUCGGAAGAUGAAUUAGCUCAGCUACAGCCUACAGGCUAAUAAGGUCAAAGAUGGGUAUAUUAAACUAAGCGUUCAAAAGGUUGAAAACCCCCCAGUUGUUUAUAAUUUGUGUCCAAUUCGCCCAUGUGUGGUAAAAUACCCAAGUGUCCUUUCUCAGCCACUUUCUCUCUCUCUCUCUCUCUCUCUCUCUCUCUCUCUCUCACUUUCUCUCCCUUGGUCGCAACGUUGGUGAUGGGGCUGAAAAUGCGAUGUGGGAUUGAGAUUUUAAAUGGGUGAAAGGAAGAUGAUAUUUUUAUUCGAUUAUAAAGAAAUAAAUUAUUAUUUCAAAUGAACUUGAAUCUAAAUCCCACCUCACCUCAGGCCUGACUUGGCUGAUUCUACAACUCCAAUCCAUGAUGACGGGCAGGCGGGCAGGCUGGCUUCUGGGGGUCCGUUGGUGCAAGUGCCAAGACUGCAAUUAUAUUUAUCAAAUACUCCCUAAUAAUUGGCUUUGGCUGCCUGGGCUGGCUGGACAUAUAUAAUUUCCCAUUUUGGGAAAACAACAAUAAAAAACACCAAGACUAAACUCUUUAUUUAAUUUCAAUCUCACCACUCCUCUGCCAUUAACU